CAGAAAAAAAUUAUGAGACUUUGGCCUUGGAAGUCUCAUAGUGAGUGCCUGUCAUGUUAUAACAGGGCAAAAACUGGCUGCUCUCCUCUACAUUCGGUGGCCUUGGGAACACCAAAGAUGUGGCCUUGGCAACACUUGCACAUCGAGGUCAAGAGGCCAGGAAGAGCAUCCUGCCUUCUAAAUCCUUUGAAGUUUACUCGAAAUUCUCAUCCUGAACUGGACUUUUGGACUCAACAACAAAAGGGAUGA
ensembl:lincRNA